rnacentral:rRNA from 1 species
UGGGGAAUUUUGGACAACGGGGGAAACCCUGAUCCAGCCAUCCCGCGUGUGCGAUGAAGGCCUUCGGGUUGUAAAGCACUUUUGGCAGGAAAGAAACGUCGCGGGUUAAUACCCCGCGAAACUGACGGUACCUGCAGAAUAAGCACCGGCUAACUACGUGCCAGCAGCCGCGGUAAUACGUAGGGUGCAAGCGUUAAUCGGAAUUACUGGGCGUAAAGCGUGCGCAGGCGGUUCGGAAAGAAAGAUGUGAAAUCCCAGAGCUUAACUUUGGAACUGCAUUUUUAACUACCGGGCUAGAGUGUGUCAGAGGGAGGUGGAAUUCCGCGUGUAGCAGUGAAAUGCGUAGAUAUGCGGAGGAACACCGAUGGCGAAGGCAGCCUCCUGGGAUAACACUGACGCUCAUGCACGAAAGCGUGGGGAGCAAACAGGAUUAGAUACCCUGGUAGUCCACGCCCUAAACGAUGUCAACUAGCUGUUGGGGCCUUCGGGCCUUGGUAGCGCAGCUAACGCGUGAAGUUGACCGCCUGGGGAGUACGGUCGCAAGAUUAAAACUCAAAUGAA